GACGAACGCUGGCGGCGUGCUUAACACAUGCAAGUCGAACGGUGAUGCUCCAGCUUGCUGGAGUGGAUCAGUGGCGAACGGGUGAGUAACACGUGAGCAACCUGCCCCAGACUCUGGAAUAAGCGCUGGAAACGGCGUCUAAUACUGGAUACGAAACUGGCCCGCAUGGGCAGGGUUUGGAAAGUUUUUCGGUUUGGGAUGGGCUCGCGGCCUAUCAGCUUGUUGGUGAGGUAAUGGCUCACCAAGGCGACGACGGGUAGCCGGCCUGAGAGGGCGACCGGCAACACGGGCCCGGCGACCCGCCCCACACCCCUCCGGGAGGCAGGAGGGGGAAUUAUCGCACAGGGCGCGAACGCUGGAGCCCGCCCCCCCGGGGGAGGGAGCGCGCCUUUCGGUUUGAAAACCUCUUUCAGCAGGAAAGAAGCAAAAGGGACGGUCCCUGCAGAAGAAGCCCCGCCUACCUCCGC
rnacentral:rRNA from 1 species